rnacentral:rRNA from 1 species
UCGUGGGGCAGCAGGUCCGUCGCAAGACGGAUGCUGGCGACCGGCAAACGGGUGCGGAACACGUACGCAACCUUCCUUUAACUGGAGAAUAGCCCCUCGAAAGAGGGAUUAAUACUCCGUAACAUAAUGAUGAGGCAUCUCUUUAUUAUUAUAGCUUCGGCGGUUAAAGAUGGGCGUGCGCCUGAUUAGAUAGUUGGCGGGGUAACGGCCCACCAAGUCUGCGAUCAGUAACUGGUGUGAGAGCACGACCAGUCACACGGGCACUGAGACACGGGCCCGACUCCUACGGGAGGCAGCAGUAAGGAAUAUUGGUCAAUGGACGCAAGUCUGAACCAGCCAUGCCGCGUGGAGGAUUAAGGCCCUCUGGGUUGUAAACUCCUUUUAUCUGGGAAGAAAUGCCAUUUUUCUAAAUGGUUUGACGGUACCAGAGGAAUAAGCACCGGCUAACUCCGUGCCAGCAGCCGCGGUAAUACGGAGGGUGCAAGCGUUAUCCGGAUUCACUGGGUUUAAAGGGUGCGUAGGCGGGCAGGUAAGUCCGUGGUGAAAUCUCUGAGCUUAACUCAGAAACUGCCAUGGAUACUAUUUGUCUUGAAUAUUGUGGAGGUAAGCGGAAUAUGUCAUGUAGCGGUGAAAUGCUUAGAUAUGACAUAGAACACCAAUUGCGAAGGCAGCUUACUACACAGUUAUUGACGCUGAGGCACGAAAGCGUGGGGAUCAAACAGGAUUAGA